AACAUUGUUUCACCAGCAGAACUCAAUACUGGCCUUAUGUAAAAAUAUUCCCGCAGGGAUAGUUUAUGCAAAGUCCCCGUUAGGUAUUGCCCUGCAGCCAACACAGGGAUGAACAGGCACCUACUCACAACAGAGCACAAACAGAGCACACGCACACAAUUGUUUAAGUGAUACCUCCAUUCACAUGCCUGUCUAGCCACAAAAACCUUGUUUAUAUACUGGCUGAUGAUGCCAGGGUGAUCGGGUUUUGUCCGGUAUUUCCAUAGAAGCCUCUCAGCCCCUCACUGAGUGGGGCACAGCCCCACUGCCUCUGGUGCUGAGACAGGGAUUUGCCCUGAGGGCCCAUGUGACUUCUCACUUAAUUGUCCAGAUUAAGGGUGUGUUUCAGAUUAAGGCCCUAAUACACACAGACAUUUCAAUCCAUGUACACAAAGUAUGGCAAGAAGCAGAUCCCACCCGCCUAUGUUUGAGGGAAAACACUCCCACAGCAAAAGCUGUCAGGGAUAAUACUGGAGGUGGUUUCAUUUACCAGAACAAAGAACCAUGCUAGCAAAAACUGGCAUAAUAUAAAUACCUCAAGGAUAAAGAUUUCUUCCCUAGAGAGAAGAGGAGGAAGAAAUUAAAGGGAAGAAGAACACACAUCCAUAAACUGGUCACAGGCAGCAGCACCACCAGGUCUCAUGACAAUGACCUAUCUGUUUCUUUUUCUCCUUUUUGGAACCCUGGCUCUCUCCGGCUCAGAAGGUGCUGGCAACUCCACAGCCAAGCAUCGCUAUGCUCGGUUCUUGUUUGAUGUUUUUGACAGACCUAAGCCUGAAUAUAACAUAAUUCCUAACCCACCUCAACAAGACUCAUCUGCAAAACAGAUCUGUCGAAGUCGGUGCCAGAAGGGCUGGAUUAGUUACAAAGGCCACUGUUAUAUGUUUGUUCAAGAGAGAAUGACAUGGAUGGAAGCUGAGAAAAUGUGUUCGGCUAAAAGUGCAGGAGGUCACCUAACCAGCAUUACCAGUGCAGAACAGAAUGAAUUCCUUCAUAAACUUUCUCAGGGACAAAAGGUUGCCCAGUUCUGGACAGGAGGAACUUACCAAAAGGGUUCGUUGUUGAAAUGGAGUGAUGGAUCUCUGAUAACCUUUGUCCAGAGGCCUCUGACAUCCAUUUUCCAUGCUGUUGGAGGACUAAUUAACAGCCUGUUUAACAUAAAACUUUGCCUGAUGGUCAAUAUUGGAGGAGGGGCUCAGUGGGACAGCUCCCCCUGCAGCCAGAGGCUACCAUUCAUCUGCACUUACACACCAAAACUGGUCCACCCUUAA
rnacentral:lncRNA from 1 species